GUCCAAGCCCGAAUAGAAGGGUUAUCGCAGCAGUGUUUAAAGAUUCGGAAAAAACGCUUUAGAAACGAACGAAUAAGCAAUGCGUUUACUUGGUGKMUGACAACUUUGGCAAUGCCAGGUGGAAAUUUCAUCAGUUGACUCAAUUGUCCAUCUUCCUUCUACUGCUUGUACCAAUGACAGUGGCAUCUCUAGGCUCCRUCUGUGGCGGUCUUCAAUGUUGCUUAUUCUGUAAGUGGUUUUCCCAUUGGUUUUUUUAAUCAAACGAUCAAAGGUUUUGUCGYGGAUGAAGGUCAUCAAAUUGACUCUUUUGUUGACUUUCCCACCAAGAUAAAUAGCCAUUACGUUUUAUCAAGUGUCACUACAAAGGGAUGUAUGUUCAUUAAGUGAUGUUUGGAAAUUUACAAAUUUCAACCAAGUCGUAAAGUUGGAGCGUUUGAGGCUUGUGUCUUUAUUCUGUUCUGUCAUCCCUGAACUUUUUCCGAAACAAGCCGUGCUGUAAUUUGCAUCGCCAGAAAAACUCUAUCAACAAAGUASAUWGUUUUGAGAUUGAAGAAAAGCUGCGGAGUGGUUGUUUGUUUACGUCUCCAUGGUGAAUUUUAACAGCCACGGCUGUAACCCAUUUUAACCCAUUAUUUUAAAAAAGGUAAAGAUAUACAGGUAAAAGUUAAAUAUGGUUUUCGUGUUAACGUGUUAACAGAAUCACUGAUACGUYAGUCCAUACUUAGUAGAAGUAGAAAGUUUCGCUGUACUAACUAUAGUCAGAUGAAACUGUCAAGUGACUUUGAACUCUGAGAGACACGUGUAUCGGUUACCAUGAUGGAUUUUGCCAACAUUUGCCGUUGUGGAUUCUGUACGAAUUAUGCUWGAUUAUUAUCCAAAAUAUAUCCAACAAGUUCCCCAAAGUUCAAGCACAGUUAAURUUAACUAUGGCUCAUGUGAUSAAGUGUUGAYUGGAACAUCGAUGGCGUAUUGAAAAGCCAUACAAAUGUCGUUUUAUAUCAAAACAGUACUAACAGUUAAUCAGUUAUCAAAUCUAAGGUAUUAAAGAGAAUUGGGUUUACCGUAUUUAUCCAUGUAUAAGCCUCACUUUUUUCCCARAAAAGUCGUUCCCAAAUCGGGGGUGUGGCUUAUCUACGAGAAGACUUGUAAAAAUGCCCAAUAAAAACUAAUUUGCAUAAAUUAGCAUUCACGGUGCUACUUACUGCAGACAGGACAUCAGUGUUUUACCUACGGCGGGAACAGAAAUUUUAAUCCAAACUUCUCAGUAAUACUAUAAAUUCUCCGAAAAUCUAGCUCUGAGAAACACAAGUCAAUAAAUCAAACUGAAAAGUGCGUGGUUAUUGAGCUAAAAUGUACAGAGAGCAUUUUCAAUCGUUUUGUCUUAGAGUUGUUUUGGUAUUAACGCGAUGCUAAUUUGCAUUGAUCAUUUAAGCGACUUUGUCACACUUAAAGUGAAGAAUCCACGGUAAAUUUUUUGAAUACCCAGAAAUAAGCCUAAGAAAUUGUUCCUUAUAUUAAACAAAUACAAUCUGCUUUGAUAUUUUUUUGAAAUACGAAACGGUUUCKGCAUAAUCCUUAUGUUUAAAAGUUUGGCGGCACGAUGAGAUUUAUAUCACUAAGUUAAUUACUAGUUUGCUUUUACCUUUUGAAUGAAAAACAACUCUUUAARGUAUCAAUUAUCAAUCUUAACAAUUAUGUCUCCAAGAUCAAAUCCAUCAUAGUACACCRUACGUUAAAUAAACAGAUUGUAAUUGCAUACGAAAUGCAUGGAUCACGGAAAUCGAGCAGCGGAAAAGCACUUUAAAAUCAAAGAAAGCUGUGUUYGCAAGUGGCGAUCAAAAAGAGAAAAGUUUAUUUUCCAUAUUUUUUUCCUCAAAAACGUUCCUAAAAUUUGGGGUGCAGCUUAUCUACGAGAGUGGCUUAUACAUGGGUAAAUACGGUAUUUAACCUCUAAAUAGAGAAACAUGUGUGUUUCUUUGCUCCAGUGUAAUGCUGCAACCAAGUUGUUGAGUCGUCGUUUUCAACGGUGUCGCGUUCGAGAUCGUUGAAACGUUUUCCGUAAAUAUGAAUUUAAAAGCCAUAAGAUUUCAUCGAAAGACACUUGAAAGUGAUAUAUGUUAUUAGUCGAGUAGAUUGAUAUACCUUUCAUAUCUUUCUUUAAAGCAUUUUAUUUUCUGUGCGAAAUGACUAUCCAUCCAUAUAAGAAUUGUGCGAACGAUUCGAAACCUCGGGCGAAACGACUUGUGGGAACGGUCUUGUGUGCAAAAUAACCUGAUACCUAAUUUUUGAGUGAUGACUUUUUUUGAAAAAACGGAUUUUUCACAAUUGUUUGUUAGAAAAUGUCACUGUAUGGUCCUAUUCAAAAUUAAUUAUCUCAAAAACGAGUUGGGGACUAUGCACUUUUCUUUUUGGAGUCUUAUUCUGCGAUAAAUUGUCUAUAUAAAUGUAGCAGAAGGAUUCGAUGAAUAUGAGAUUCAAAUUUCGCUAGAUUCAGGUCGAAGUUUAAACCGUAAGAAUUUGGUAAACRURCGAUCGUAGAACUUUCUGGUGAUUCAAAAAUAUCUCUGAUAUUAACACACAACUAUAAAAGAGCUGUUUACAGUAAUAAAUCUUGAAUUUAUGGAAAAAAAAUAGAUCAUUAGUUAGUCAUAUUUUGAUGUUAUCUACUACUCUAACUAAUUUGACUACUAAUCAAUCGUCAUUGUGAACUGCAAUGCUGGCACCAAAGUUCUCUGAAACAAUACGACUAAUUUCAUGUACUCUUUCCAGUGUGUGGGGUCUUGGUCAACUUACUGUAGUUGCCACGAUUCUCAUACUGACUGAAGGAACGGGAGAAAAGAAGGGCUACCUGUGACGGCAAUCACUGUUCAAUGACGAUUUUUCCGUAUCUUUUGGCAUGUUGCUCAUUUGCUUUAUGAUAAUCGCGACUCCCACRUAAAAGUGUUGUCUGCGAAAGUAUCAUAGAAUUCAAGCUCUAAGUGUUAUUCCACAAUAGGCAUUUUUUUCAUAGAGCACAAAAUACCUAGUGGAAUAGGCAUUUGUGUCCUAAUAUAUACUCAUUCAUGGCAGGGGAGCGUUUUGGCUCACAGUUAGUAGAGCGCGCAAAAAUACCUAGUAGAAUAGGCAUUUUUUCAUAGAGCACAAAAAUACCUAGUGGAAUAGGCAUUUUUUCAUAGAGCACAAAAAUACCUACCAGCUGAUUUCGCAAAGCACUUCCGGUUUAAAAUUAGCCAAUCAGAGCCAUUUUUGUCGCACAGCCAAGCGUUCCAAACAAAUUUCAAUAUGGCGGCGGUCUAAUCAUGUGCUUCGUACGUUGAGAUAUUAACUACUUUACAAAUUCCAGAUUUAAUCCUACAUUUACCCAACUUUUGACUUAAUUUAUUGACAGUCUAAGCUUUAAUAUAUGUUUCUAUUUCAAAUCGGAUAGUUUUGCUUGAUUAUAUUCGAGAAAAUAAUCUCUUUUAAACCUACCAACACUUGGCGACGGGGAAUUUCACUGUUUGUGAGAGAAUUGAGAGYAACUUUUCUUGUCAAUGCGUGACUUCAAGAGGUGCUUAAAAGCUUCAUAAACUGCAGAGUAUUGCCAGAUCAACCAGGGAAUAUCAGUUGCCUUUUCCUCAAUGAGAAAGUCCAGGAGAAGUAGCUGUGCAGCUCGAACCAGCUCAGGAUCUUUAACGAUGGGGAGCACGUCUUCUGGCCGACCUUCGUUCGUGGUGAAGGCUGGAUACUUUUCUUGUAUACCAGCAGACAAGGCAGCGUUGAGCUUCUCAUCUCGUCUGAACAAUUGUUGGAAAUCAGGAAGAGACUUAUUUCUUCCAAAGAUGACUUUUAUUGUAGAGCAAGGAUUAGAUGGAAGCUCCUCCUUGAUUAACUCGUCAGCCUUCACAAAGGGUAUGUACUGAUAAUGGUUAAAUGUGAAUAUUAGGAAUCCAAUAAUAAUAUUUUUUGUCAUUCUUAUUGAAGUUUGUAAUCAUAAUGAAUACUUGUGAACAAAAAAAUGGGGAAUAUUACUAACAUACAGAAUUAACGAAAUCAAAUUAUGAUUACAAUAUAAAAAUUACGCACCCACUUCUUUUUGGUAUCUCUAUUAGGGUUGCUGUGUUGUUCCACCUUUCUGUCUGRUGAUGUUGCUUUAUGCUCCUCUCUGUUCUCUAUUCGCAUCCAUUCAUUCACAAACUGUUGCUCCAAUACUCUCUUCUGGUAGUCUGUCCGUCCUGUUUCACCCGAUCGCCCCCCACUGAAUUUAUAGUUGCCUUGCUUGCAUUCCUUGUGUUUAGAUUCCAUUAUACUGUCUAUGAAGUUUCGAAGUGUCAGGGGAAGUCCUACAAGUUUAGCAUCUGAUAUUGCCUUGUCAAUAUAGUAACCAGAGUAAACUGUGACCUGCUUGAUUGUUGCAGUAACAGAUUUGUAUCCAAAUAUCAUGUGAAAUUGGAAUCCUAAGUACAGUCUGGCAUUUCUUUCAUACUGGUUUCCAGUCAGGCCCUCUGGUGUGUCCAUAAGUAGUGGGAAAACAUUAGGCAGUCCUUCACAAAAUGUUUGAAGUAUGUCAUAUACUAAGCCAGUAAAUCCUGCAUCAAGUAGCAUAUUUCCAGCCAGUUCACAAAAUGCAUAUUCACCAGCAUGGCUCAGCUUGACCUGGAACCCCUCCUUGAUGCUUCUAGCAAUUUUGGAGACUUCACUUUCCCAGUUUUUCCCCUUAUCUGUUUGGGUGAGGCUAGCAACCUGGUGUAUUCUUUUGCAAAUUGUUUGUACCAAUUUAAUACRCCGGUGCAWUCGCCAUUCUUACGUUGCGCGAGAGAUUGGGUCGAGUUGGUAAGUGCAAAGCACGCUGGGUCGAAUUUAGGGGACACCAUUAUCUAAAAGUGUAUUGAAAAUACGCAACAAAAUGGUAAAAUCUAAUUGCUGUGUGCCAGGAUGCACAAAUAACUGGCAAAACUCUCCAAAUAUGAAAUUUCACAGCCUUCCAAGCGACCCAAAGGUUUUAAGAACAUAUGAGAAGCUAAUAAGAAACAAGAAUUUAAAGAUAAACUCGUCAAGCACACGAAUAUGUGGAUCACA